AAUAAGUGCAGUUUUAUACUAUUCACGUUCAACGUUUGAUUGUUCGUCUUAUUUAAAAAUUUUUAUGAUUAGUAUUUUUAUUGCUAUUAGAUGAUAAAACAUAAAUAGCACUUUAUGUGUGACUAAUUUUUUUUAUUUUUUUUAUAAAUUUUUUAAAUAAGACGAACGGUCAAACAUUAUUUUGAGUACCAAACGUGCGACUGUG
rnacentral:pre_miRNA from 1 species